rnacentral:rRNA from 1 species
CCUACGGGAGGCAGCAGUAGGGAAUCUUGCGCAAUGGGCGAAAGCCUGACGCAGCGACGCCGCGUGCGGGAUGAAGGCCUUCGGGUUGUAAACCGCUUUCAGCAGGGACGAAAUUGACGGUACCUGCAGAAGAAGGCCCGGCCAACUACGUGCCAGCAGCCGCGGUAAUACGUAGGGGCCUAGCGUUGUCCGGAUUUAUUGGGCGUAAAGAGCUCGUAGGCGGCACGGUUAGUCAGGUGUGAAAUCUCCACGCUCAACGUGGAGGGGUCACCUGAUACUGCCGAGCUUGAGUCCGGUAGGGGAGUGUGGAAUUCCCGGUGUAGCGGUGAAAUGCGCAGAUAUCGGGAGGAACACCCGUAGCGAAGGCGGCACUCUGGGCCGGUACUGACGCUGAGGAGCGAAAGCGUGGGGAGCAAACAGGAUUAGAUACCCUAGUAGUC